UGUGCUACAUUAACCUGAUUUGUGAGUUGACAUAAAAUAGAAUAAAAUAAAAAGAUAAAAAUGUGCUCAAAAUCCCUCAUGAACGACUCUAAAUUAUUGGGAAAGGAUUGAAAAAAAAUGGAAUACCUAUAAACUUCACUGGCACAUCUAAACAAAUAUUUUUAGCAGCCAAUUGCUAAAACUAAGCUGAACUCUUUCCUCAAAUGGACUCAGAAUUGUCAUAUUAUUAGACA
rnacentral:misc_RNA from 1 species